rnacentral:rRNA from 1 species
UAAAGUGGCGAACGGCUGAGUAACACGUGGGCAACCUGCCCUUUGCACUGGGAUAGCCUCGGGAAACCGAGGUUAAUACCGGAUACUCCAUAUUUGUCGCAUGGCGAAUAUGGGAAAGCUCCGGCGGCAAAGGAUGGGCCCGCGGCCUGUUAGCUAGUUGGUGGGGUAGUGGCCUACCAAGGCAAUGAUGGGUAGCCGGGUUGAGAGACCGACCGGCCAGAUUGGGACUGAGACACGGCCCAGACUCCUACGGGAGGCAGCAGC